UUUACAUCUUUGAAAAUAUGAUUUUGUAAUAUUAAUUUCUGUGUUUUUCUUGUAUGAUAAUUUACAAAGCACUCGCCAAGAUGCAUUCUUGAAUAUAAUUGAUCUCAUUUUCCAACAGCGAAGUUUUCUAAACUAUAAUACUUUUGCCAUGGUCGUCGAAUUUGAACUAACGUUGGAGACGUUGUCAGAACCAUAGUUUCGGAGGGAUAUGGCAUUAAAUAUUUUGUCUCCGUUUUAAAGUCUAACGCUUUACACUUGCUAACAAACAGCACAAAGAGCUAAGGAACCAAUUUACGAAUCAAUAUUAUGCUCUCGUCAAUUGGAGAUGUCGAAAUCUAUAAACAGGAACUGUCGCCUGUCGUUCGCCACUGGAGUUGCAGCACGGAACGUCGUGGUCACUGAGAGUAGCCUCUCGAGUGCAAAGGUUAAUCCUUCCCCCGUGAAUUUCAAUGCUGCUGUGCUAUAAUGACUGUGUUACAAAAUUUAAGAAACGUUGCUUCGGAUGGAUUUUUUACUCAAUUAUUUACACGUCGGAUAAUACGUACUGGCAACGCAUAUGAACGAUUUCAGAGUAAGAAAUACGUAACGAUUCCGUGCAUCGUCGUGGCAAUCGCAAAUCUUAAUAAUUUAUAGUUUUCGGCGUGCAACUAUGUCGUACGUACGCCACAGUGAAAGGGACAAAUAAUAACGAGGUUGGAUUAAUCGCGUUACUAACGAGAGGGACAGGUAGACCGUCCUACGGAUCGAAUUUCCAGCGGGGUCGACUUCUUUAAUCGGCUGCACCCGAUUA